UUGUUGCUGUUCUUCCGGAAUUUACACUAGAAGAAGAAUAGUGUCCUGUCGUGUCUUUGAGGUCUAAGGUUUGUUUGUAUCUUCAGUGUUUUCCUCUGUGUCCUUCUGUCCGUCUGUGUCCGGUGAUCAUUAAAAACCUUGAAUGAAAGCUCUUCCUUGUGGGAAUUCACAAAACCAGACAUGUUUCAUAGAAGAAUACCCUUCACACAGCUGGCCUUUGCCACGCUGCUUGGAGUUGCUGGUGGUGUUUACAUCUACAGACCUUAUUUUGAGCUGAAGCCCUCAGGACAGAAGAACCAGGAUGUACCAAAGAAACACAAUGAAACAGACUGAAAUAACUUAUCACUCCAAGGAAAUGCUUCACAGAAAGAACAACAAAAUACUGCUGGACUGUCGGAGCAGGGUUCCUUAAGAACAAUCCCCAUAUAGACUGAUUCAGGCUUCUUUGGGGUUCCUUGUAUGAUUGUUAAUAUUCACAAUAAAAUAUGUAAUGAUUUUA